rnacentral:rRNA from 1 species
UUAACACAUGCAAGUCGAGCGCCUCGCAAGAGGAGCGGCAGACGGGUGAGUAACGCGUGGGAAUCUACCCAUCUCUACGGAACAACUCCGGGAAACUGGAGCUAAUACCGUAUACGUCCUUCGGGAGAAAGAUUUAUCGGAGAUGGAUGAGCCCGCGUUGGAUUAGCUAGUUGGUGGGGUAAUGGCCUACCAAGGCGACGAUCCAUAGCUGGUCUGAGAGGAUGAUCAGCCACAUUGGGACUGAGACACGGCCCAAACUCCUACGGGAGGCAGCAGUGGGGAAUAUUGGACAAUGGGCGAAAGCCUGAUCCAGCCAUGCCGCGUGAGUGAUGAAGGCCCUAGGGUUGUAAAGCUCUUUCAACGGUGAAGAUAAUGACGGUAACCGUAGAAGAAGCCCCGGCUAACUUCGUGCCAGCAGCCGCGGUAAUACGAAGGGGGCUAGCGUUGUUCGGAAUUACUGGGCGUAAAGCGCACGUAGGCGGAUAUUUAAGUCAGGGGUGAAAUCCCGGGGCUCAACCCCGGAACUGCCUUUGAUACUGGGUAUCUCGAGUCGAGAGAGGUGAGUGGAAUUCCGAGUGUAGAGGUGAAAUUCGUAGAUAUUCGGAGGAACACCAGUGGC